GACGAACGCUGGCGGCGCGCCUAACACAUGCAAGUCGAACGAGAGAUGAGGAGCUUGCUCUUCAAAUCGAGUGGCGAACGGGUGAGUAACGCGUGAGGAACCUGCCUCAAAGAGGGGGACAACAGUUGGAAACGACUGCUAAUACCGCAUAAGCCCACAGCUCGGCAUCGAGCAGAGGGAAAGGGAGUGAUCCGCUUUGAGAUGGCCUCGCGUCCGAUUAGCUAGUUGGUGGGGUAACGGCCCACCAAGGCGACGAUCGGUAGCCGGACUGAGAGGUUGAACGGCCACAUUGGGACUGAGACACGGCCCAGACUCCUACGGGAGGCAGCAGUGGGGAAUAUUGCACAAUGGGGGAAACCCUGAUGCAGCGACGCCGCGUGGAGGAAGAAGGUCUUCGGAUUGUAAACUCCUGUUGUUGAGGAAGAUAAUGACGGUACUCAACAAGGAAGUGACGGCUAACUACGUGCCAGCAGCCGCGGUAAAACGUAGGUCACAAGCGUUGUCCGGAAUUACUGGGUGUAAAGGGAGCGCAGCGGGAGAACAAGUUGGAAGUGAAAUCCAUGGGCUCAACCCAUGAACUGCUUUCAAAACUGUUUUUCUUGAGUAGUGCAGAGGUAGGCGGAAUUCCCGGUGUGGCGGUGGAAUGCGUAGAUAUCGGGAGGAACACCAGUGGCGAAGGCGGCCUACUGGGCACCAACUGACGCUGAGGCUCGAAAGUGUGGGUAGCAAACAGGAUUAGAUACCCUGGUAGUCCACACCGUAAACGAUGAUUACUAGGUGUUGGAGGAUUGACCCCUUCAGUGCCGCAGUUAACACAAUAAGUAAUCCACCUGGGGAGUACGACCGCAAGGUUGAAACUCAAAGGAAUUGACGGGGGCCCGCACAAGCAGUGGAGUAUGUGGUUUAAUUCGACGCAACGCGAAGAACCUUACCAAGUCUUGACAUCCCUUGACGAUGCUGGAAACAGUAUUUCUCUUCGGAGCAAGGAGACAGGUGGUGCAUGGUUGUCGUCAGCUCGUGUCGUGAGAUGUUGGGUUAAGUCCCGCAACGAGCGCAACCCUUAUGGUCAGUUACUACGCAAGAGGACUCUGGCCAGACUGCCGUUGACAAAACGGAGGAAGGUGGGGAUGACGUCAAAUCAUCAUGCCCUUUAUGACUUGGGCUACACACGUACUACAAUGGCGUUAAACAAAGAGAAGCAAGACCGCGAGGUGGAGCAAAACUCAGAAACAACGUCCCAGUUCGGACUGCAGGCUGCAACUCGCCUGCACGAAGUCGGAAUUGCUAGUAAUCGUGGAUCAGCAUGCCACGGUGAAUACGUUCCCGGGCCUU
rnacentral:rRNA from 1 species